rnacentral:rRNA from 1 species
GGAUCCACCCGUUCCCAUACCGAACACGGAAGUUAAGCCCUCCAGCGCCGAUGGUACUUGGGCUUAAGCCCUGGGAGAGUAGGUCGUUGCCAGGC